rnacentral:lncRNA from 1 species
GCCUGUUCCCCUGGGUCCUCAUGGAAAUGACCAGCAUAGACAGAGCAUUGACAUCUUGUAUAGCCUCCAUGGAAGAUUCUGGAUGGAUUGAAAUGAUUUUGCAGGCUGUUCAUCAGGGAAUAACCAAGGCAACAGUUGAAAUCUCUGAGAAUUUUAGAAAAAUGAAGCUAUCCAUGUGCCUAGCAGCUUGUACACUGAGCGGAUCUUUCAGAAGAGGAAGCAGAGAAUAAAACAGUGGGAGAGAAAGCU